rnacentral:rRNA from 1 species
CCUACGGGAGACAGCAGUGAGGAAUAUUGGUCAAUGGACGAGAGUCUGAACCAGCCAAGUAGCGUGAAGGAUGACUGCCCUAUGGGUUGUAAACUUCUUUUAUAUGGGAAUAAAAUGUUCCACGUGUGGGAUUUUGUAUGUACCAUAUGAAUAAGGAUCGGCUAACUCCGUGCCAGCAGCCGCGGUAAUACGGAGGAUCCGAGCGUUAUCCGGAUUUAUUGGGUUUAAAGGGAGCGUAGGUGGAUUGUUAAGUCAGUUGUGAAAGUUUGCGGCUCAACCGUACAAUUGCAGUUGAAACUGGCAGUCUUGAGUACAGUAGAGGUGGGCGGAAUUCGUGGUGUAGCGGUGAAAUGCGUAGAUAUCACGAAGAACUCCGAUUGCGAAGGCAGUUCACUGGACUGCAACUGACACUGAGGCUCGAAAGUGUGGGUAUCAAACAGGAUUAGAUACCCUGGUAGUC